UCCAAAACAAAAUAGACUUUAGGAAGUAAUACCAAACCAUGACGUCACGUUUAAUAUUUGAUUUCGUCGCGAUAUUUUGUUGACGAAUUGUAAAUGAUUAGUUGACUUAUCAGUUUACGUGCGCUCAUUGUUCAUUUAUCGUUUGUAAUUCUAUAAUUAUGGUUGGCACACGACAUUGGUGAUAACAUAUAAUCAAGACAAAUUAAUUGUAGUUGCUAAUAAAUAACUUCAUGAAUAGUCGACACUUCAUAACAUAUGGACAAUGAUGAACGAAAAAUCCACACACCACAUAGCCCAAAAGCUGACUAGUGAGUCAUGAGGUGGUGGGUACAAACAUGCUCGCUAGGUGCUACGGCGCGAAUAUGAAGCUAAUCGGUUUGACUGACUUCUUCUUGAGCGUGAAGAAGGAUCGGCGCUUGGGCUCUGCGUUGGCGGGCGCG